UUUCCGUAGGUGAACCUGCGGAAGGGUCAUUCAUAAUAAGUGUUUUUUGUCCCUUUUAAAUCCAUAUCCACCUUGUGUGCAAUGUCAGGGUUGGUCUCUUUUGAGCAGCCCGAAACAUCAACUAUUAUCUCACUUUUUUGUCUGAAAAUUAUUAUGAAUAAAACUAUUCAAAAUACAACUUUCAACAACGGAUCUCUUGGCUCUC
rnacentral:misc_RNA from 1 species